rnacentral:rRNA from 1 species
CAGCCGCCGCGGGAAUACGUAGGUGGCAAGCGUUGUCCGGAAUUAUUGGGCGUAAAGGGCUCGUAGGCGGUUUCUUAAGUCUGAUGUGAAGGCCCCCGGCUCAACCGGGGAGGGUCAUUGGAAACUGGGAAACUUGAGUGCAGAAGAGGAGAGUGGAAUUCCACGUGUAGCGGUGAAAUGCGUAGAGAUGUGGAGGAACACCAGUGGCGAAGGCGACUCUCUGGUCUGUAACUGACGCUGAGGAGCGAAAGCGUGGGGAGCGAACAGGAUUAGAUACCCGCGUAGUCCCUGUCUCUUAUAC